GUGCCUGCAGCCGCGGUAAUACCGGCAGCCCAAGUGAUGGCCGAUCUUAUUGGGCCUAAAGCGUCCGUAGCUGGCCGCGCAAGCCCAUCGGAAAAUCCACCCGCCCAACGGGUGGGCGUCCGGUGGAAACUGUGCGGCUUGGGACCGGAAGGCGCGACGGGUACGUCCGGGGUAGGAGUGAAAUCCCGUAAUCCUGGACGGACCGCCGAUGGCGAGAGCACGUCGCGAGAACGGAUCCGACAGUGAGGGACGAAAGCCAGGGUCUCGAACCGGAUUAGAUACCCCAUAGUCC
rnacentral:rRNA from 1 species